rnacentral:rRNA from 1 species
UACCAGCUCUUCGAGCGGUGUGGAUGUUUAUUGGGCCUAAAGCAUCCGUAGCUGGCUGGGCAAGUCCCCUGUUAAAUCCACCGAUUUAAUCGUUGGAGUGCGGGGGAUACUGUUCGGCUAGGGGACGGGAGAGGCAGACGGUAUUUUCGGGGUAGGGGUGAAAUCCUAUAAUCCCGGGAGGACCACCAGUGGCGAAGGCUGCCUGCUAGAACGCGCCCGACGGUGAGGGAUGAAAGCUGGGGGAGCGAACCGGAUUAGAUACCCGGGUAGUCCCAGCUGUAAACGAUGCAGGCUAGGUGUUUGGGCGGCCACGUGCCGCUCUAGUGCCGCAGGGAAGCCGUUAAGCCUGCCGCCUGGGGAGUACGGCCGCAAGGCUGAAACUUAAAGGAAUUGGCGGGGGAGCACCACAAGGGGUGAAGCUUGCGGUUU